ACUACGCAAUCAUAGAGAGAGAAUGUUUGGCGAUUGUUUGGGCAGUGCAAAAAUUUGAACCUUACAUCUAUGGUCAGGAGUUUAUCCUCGAGACAGACCAUCAACCGUUGACUUACUUGCACAGAUCGAAGACUGCGAACGCAAGACUUAUGCGUUGGGCGUUACUUCUGCAACCUUACAGACUGAAGAUUCGAGCCAUCAAGGGAUCCGACAACGUGGGAGCUGACUAUCUGAGUAGAUUAUAGGACAUACAUGCUUCGUGAUUGUCUAGAAAGUAUGCUACUUUCUUCGGAAGCCGGGGGAUGUGUCACGCUAGCAUGUAUAUUUGGAUAUUAGUUGUGUAGUUUUUUGGUAAAUAUAUUAUUUUUAACUUAAGCCGGGGUAAGUAUCCUUAAACGUAAUAGGUACUCUUGGGCGGAAAUGCGUCACGGGUAAGUGUGCACGAGCUGGGUUGUUUACAAGGAAAGACAUGGUUCCUUUGUUCUGUGUACCCAGUAUGGAUUUACCGACAUUUAACGGCAUAUGAACCAGGCACAGACUACAGACUGUGCUUCACAUGACGGGAGUUGAAGCCGUGCGGAUUAGUCAGAACCGGGCAGGAUGAUCCCUCUUAUACCAUCUCAGCAUCAGGACCGACCAGGAACGUGUGUUCAACCUGUUCCAUCAGGGUCAAGGUCAGCAAGGGUCUACUGAGGGCUUUUCCAUGCGGGAAAAGGUUGGCGUCUUCCAAGUGAGCAUCACUGGCUUUUGAGGAAAUGUAAACCCUAGUGAUUGCUGUUGUCUAUUAGACACUAGUGACAUAUCCUCUUGGAUAUGUGAGCUCUGGAUUGAGCUAUAUAUAUAUAUAUAAUAUAUAUUUCAGUAUUUGUAUCAAUACCCACUGGCUCUGGAUUGAGCUGUUUCAUACAAUAUUGGAAAGACUGUUGGCUCUGGAUUGAGCUGUUACAUACAUUAUUGGAAAGACUGUUUGGUUCUGGAUUGAGUGUUUGUUUCAUCGUGUUGUGAUGCUACAUAGACAUUCUUAGAAUACUUUGUUGAGAGUGUGUGAGAUAGUGAGAGUGUAUGGUUGUAUUGUUAAUAUAUACGUUAUACAUAUUGUUUUUCAUUGUAAAUAAACAUAAUCAUAUUUGUGUAA